CAGCCGCCGCGGUAAUACGGAGGAUCCGAGUGUUAUCCGGAAUCAUUGGGUUUAAAGGGUCCGUAGGUGGACGGUUAAGUCAGAGGUGAAAUCCUGCAGCUCAACUGUAGAAUUGCCUUUGAUACUGGUCGUCUUGAGUCAUUGUGAAGUGGUUGGAAUAUGUAGUGUAGCGGUGAAAUGCAUAGAUAUUACAUAGAACACCGAUUGCGAAGGCAGAUCACUAACAAUGUACUGACACUGAUGGACGAAAGCGUGGGGAGCGAACAGGAUUAGAUACCCUGGUAGUCCACGCCGUAAACGAUGGUCACUAGCUGUCCGGACUUCGGUCUGGGUGGCUAAGCGAAAGUGAUAAGUGACCCACCUGGGGAGUACGUUCGCAAGAAUGAAACUCAAAGGAAUUGACGG
rnacentral:rRNA from 1 species